GGGCCCGUAGCUUAACGGAUAAAGCGCUCGGCUUCGGACCGAGAGAUUGGGGGUUCGAAUCCUCCCGGGCUCA
rnacentral:tRNA from 1 species